rnacentral:rRNA from 1 species
AUUGAACGCUGGCGGCAGGCCUAACACAUGCAAGUCGAACGAGUGGCGGACGGGUGAGUAAUGUGUGAGAAACUGGCUGUUGGGGGGGGAACAACACGGGAAACGGUCGCUAAUACCGCAUACUCUCGGAUGGACCCAUAUGGGAUUAGCUAGUAGGUGGGGGAAAGGCUCACCUAGGCGACGAUCCCUAGCGGGUCUGAGAGGCUGACCAGCCACACGGGAACGGAGACACGGUCCAGACUCCUACGGGAGGCAGCAGUGGGGAAUAUUGCACAAUGGGCGCAAGCCUGAUGCAGCCAUGCCGCGUGUAUAAAGAAGGCCUUCGGGUUGUAAAGUACUUUCAGCGGGGAGGCGUUACCCGCAGAAGAAGCACCGGCUAACUCCGUGCCAGCAGCCGCGGUAAUUC